rfam:Culex pipiens quinquefasciatus supercont3.825 genomic scaffold, whole genome shotgun sequence.
GGGACCGUGGUGUAGGGUAAGCGUGAUUGCCUCUCACUCAGUCGGCCUGGGUUCGAUCCCAGAAGGUCCCG